rnacentral:rRNA from 1 species
GCUGGGUUCAGAACGUCGUGAGACAGUUCGGUCCCUAUCCGUCGCAGGCGUAGGAAAUUUGAGAAGACCUGUCCUUAGUACGAGAGGACCGGGAUGGACGUACCUCUGGUGUACCAGUUGUUCUGCCAAGGGCAUGGCUGGGUAGCUAUGUACGGAAUGGAUAAGCGCUGAAAGCAUCUAAGCGCGAAGCCAACUUCAAGAUAAGAUUUCCCACCGCAAGGGUAAGACCCCAGAAAGACUAACUGGUUGAUAGGUCGAAGGUGUAAGUGCAGCAAUGUAUUUAGCUUAUCGAUACUAAUAGGUCGAGGACUUGACCACUAUUAUU